UACGGAGGGGGCUAGCGUUGUUCGGAAUUACUGGGCGUAAAGCGCACGUAGGCGGAUCUUUAAGUCAGGGGUGAAAUCCUGGAGCUCAACUCCAGAACUGCCUUUGAUACUGAGGACCUUGAGUUCGGGAGAGGUGAGUGGAAUUCCCAGUGUAGCGGUGAAAUGCGUAGAUAUUGGGAGGAACACCAGUGGCGAAGGCGGCUCACUGGACCGGUACUGACGCUGAGGCGCGAAAGCGUGGGGAGCAAACGGG
rnacentral:rRNA from 1 species